rnacentral:rRNA from 1 species
GAUGAACGCUGGCGGCGUGCCUAAUACAUGCAAGUCGAGCGAACGGACGAGAAUCUUGCUUCUCUGAUGUUAGCGGCGGACGGGUGAGUAACACGUGGAUAACCUACCUAUAAGACUGGGAUAACUUCGGGAAACCGGAGCUAAUACCGGAUAAUAUUUUGAACCGCAUGGUUCAAAAGUGAAAGACGGUCUUGCUGUCACUUAUAGAUGGAUCCGCGCUGCAUUAGCUAGUUGGUAAGGUAACGGCUUACCAAGGCAACGAUGCAUAGCCGACCUGAGAGGGUGAUCGGCCACACUGGAACUGAGACACGGUCCAGACUCCUACGGGAGGCAGCAGUAGGGAAUCGUGCGCAAUGGGCGAAAGCCUGACGGAGCAACGGCGCGUGAGUGAUGAAGGUCUUCGGAUCGGAAAACUCUGUUAUUAGGGAAGAACAUAUGUGUAAGGAACUGUGCACAUCGUGACGGUACCUAAUCAGAAAGCCACGGCUAACUACGUG